AUAAAUGCUUUGACGGAGCAAAGUAGUCUGGUAGGCGCAUUUUCAGAGAGUCUGCGGCAGGUGUGAGCAGGCAGCGUCCCACGAUGAAGUUACUCUCCCGAGCUUUCGGCUUGAAAUCUCAGUAGGGCUGAACGUUUCCCGCGUUAAGGGCAAUGAGGUCGGCGUAUGCCGAUAAACUGAGGUGGUACCGCGUAAAUUUCGCCCUCGGA
rnacentral:ncRNA from 1 species